GACAGAGGGUGCAAACGUUGUUCGGAAUUACUGGGCGUAAAGGGCGCGUAGGCGGUCUGCUAAGUUGGAUGUGAAAACUCUGGGCUUAACCCAGAGCCUGCAUUCAAUACUGACAGGCUAGAGUUCUGGAGGGGAUAGCGGAAUUCCUGGUGUAGCGGUGAAAUGCGUAGAUAUCAGGAGGAACACCGGUGGCGAAGGCGGCUAUCUGGACAGAGUCCGACGCUGAGGCGCGAAAGCUAGGGGAGCAAACAGG
rnacentral:rRNA from 1 species